UCAGAUUGAACGCUGGCGGAAUGCUUUACACAUGCAAGUCGAACGGCAGCACGGGGGCAACCCUGGUGGCGAGUGGCGAACGGGUGAGUAAUACAUCGGAACGUGCCCGAUCGUGGGGGAUAACGUAGCGAAAGCUACGCUAAUACCGCAUACGAUCUACGGAUGAAAGCGGGGGAUCGCAAGACCUCGCGCGAACGGAGCGGCCGAUGGCAGAUUAGGUAGUUGGUGGGGUAAAGGCUCACCAAGCCUGCGAUCUGUAGCUGGUCUGAGAGGACGACCAGCCACACUGGGACUGAGACACGGCCCAGACUCCUACGGGAGGCAGCAGUGGGGAAUUUUGGACAAUGGGCGAAAGCCUGAUCCAGCCAUUCCGCGUGCAGGAUGAAGGCCUUCGGGUUGUAAACUGCUUUUGUACGGAACGAAACGGCCUUUUCUAAUACAGAGGGCUAAUGACGGUAC
rnacentral:rRNA from 1 species